rnacentral:rRNA from 1 species
UACGAAGGGGGCGAGCGUUGUUCGGAUUUACUGGGCGUAAAGGGCUCGUAGGUGGCCAACUAAGUCAGACGUGAAAUCCCUCAGCUUAACUGGGGAACUGCGUCUGAUACUGGAUGGCUUGAGUUUGGGAGAGGGAUGCGGAAUUCCAGGUGUAGCGGUGAAAUGCGUAGAUAUCUGGAGGAACACCGGUGGCGAAGGCGGCAUCCUGGACCAACACUGACACUGAGGAGCGAAAGCCAGGGGAGCAAACGGG